rnacentral:rRNA from 1 species
UACGGAGGAUGCAAGCGUUAUCCGGAUUCAUUGGGUUUAAAGGGUGCGCAGGCGGAAUAUUAAGUCAGUGGUGAAAGCCUACAGCUCAACUGUAGAACUGCCAUUGAUACUGAUAUUCUUGAGUGUUGUUGAGGUAGGCGGAAUGUGUCAUGUAGCGGUGAAAUGCUUAGAUAUGACACAGAACACCGAUCGCGAAGGCAGCUUACCAAGCAACAACUGACGCUCAUGCACGAAAGCGUGGGGAUCAAACAGG